rnacentral:sRNA from 1 species
UGAAAGCAAACGAGAAAAAUAAAUAAAAU